UACGUAGGUGGCAAGCGUUAUCCGGAUUUACUGGGUGUAAAGGGCGUGUAGGCGGGAAAGCAAGUCAGAUGUGAAAACCAUGGGCUCAACCUGUGGACUGCUUUGGAAACUGUGCAGCUUGAGUGUCGGAGAGGCAAGUGGAAUUCCUAGUGUAGCGGUGAAAUGCGUAGAUAUUAGGAGGAACACCAGUGGCGAAGGCGGCUUGCUGGACGAUGACUGACGUUGAGGCUCGAAAGCGUGGGGAGCAAACAGG
rnacentral:rRNA from 1 species